rnacentral:rRNA from 1 species
UACGUAGGGUGCGAGCGUUAAUCGGAAUUACUGGGCGUAAAGCGUGCGCAGGCGGUUAUUUAAGUCAGGUGUGAAAGCCCUGGGCUUAACCUAUGAAUUGCGCUUGAGACUGGAUAGCUUGGAGUGCGGCAGAGGGAGGUGGAAUUCCACGUGUAGCAGUGAAAUGCGUAGAGAUGUGGAGGAACACCGAUGGCGAAGGCAGCCUCCUGGGCCAGCACUGACGCUCAUGCACGAAAGCGUGGGGAGCAAACAGG